rnacentral:rRNA from 1 species
AUUGAACGCUGGCGGCAGGCCUAACACAUGCAAGUCGAACGAGUGGCGGACGGGUGAGUAAUGUCUGGGAAACUGCCUGAUGGAGGGGGAUAACUACUGGAAACGGUAGCUAAUACCGCAUACCAUCAGAUGUGCCCAGAUGGGAUUAGCUAGUUGGGGUGGUAACGGCUCCCCAAGGCGACGAGCCCUCGCUGGUCUGAGAGGAUGACCAGCCAAACUGGAACGGAGAAACGGUCCAGACUCCUACGGGAGGCAGCGGUGGGGAAGAUUGCACAAUGGGGGCAAGCCUGAUGCAGCCAUGCCGAGGGUAUGAAGAAGGCCUUCGGGUUGUAAAGUCCUUUAAGCGGGGAGGCGUUACCCGCAGAAGAAGCACCGGCUAACUCCGUGCCAGCAGCCGCGGUAAUAC